rnacentral:rRNA from 1 species
GCUUGACUGUAUCUUGGAAUUGGUUCGGCUUUCUUGCGCAGACUAGGUGGGAGGCUAUGAGGAUUUCUCUGGGAAAGUUGGAGCCAAACAGUGAGAGCCACUCUGGAAAGGCUAGAAUCCUAAUGGUGAUCCUUGAAUCAGGACACUUGACAGUUUCAGGUGGCAGUUUUUCUGGGCGGAAGCCUCAUAAAAGGUAACUGAGGCGCGCAAAGGUCCCUCAUCUGGACGGAAUCAGACAUUGAGUGUAAAGGCAAAAGGGGCUUGACUGCAAGACCCACAAGUCGAGCAGGGGCGAAAGCUGGCCUUAGUGAUCCGACGGUGCCGUGUGGAAGGCCGUCGCUCAACGAAUAAAAGUUA